rnacentral:lncRNA from 1 species
AAGAUAAUCAUUUAAUAGCAACUCUGAGCCAGGAGACAAAAGGAAAGGUAGUUGAAGAACUCAUUGCUAAUUUCUCUCCCAGUGUAAUCAAAUCAGUACGGCUCUCCAGCCAGGACUUAUAACCCUUAAUAAGUCACUCUAUUCGAUUAAGAGGAAUUGAUUUUCUUCUACCGUAGAUCAUAGUGAUUAUGACAAAUAUGGUAUCUGCUGCUCACUUCCCUAUCUUCCCUGCUAGUGUCCAUUUGUUUGCAGGGCCGGCAGGUAAACGAGCCAGAGAGAUGACACGGUGUCAUUAACUGCAGUCAGUGUCAGCGCUUUGACAGCCGUGGAAUUGAGUGGUUCCCUAGAUCAGAGCAGAAGCCAGUUGUGAGGGUCUCGCACAGCAAUUACGUACUUCUGACAACUCUACUGACAGCCUUAAAUGCAGGAAAUGAUGGGAUAGUAAUUUGUAAUUGCAACUAGGAGAGCAACUGGCAAUCGGUGAUGGUGUGGUGGCAGCGUACGGGCCAUAGUUUAGAGGUUAGCCAACAUCAAAGCAGAUGGGAGAAGCGGGAAGGAGAGCUGUCAAGCUGCCAUGUUUCAGAAGCAAAGCAAUAUUGACCUUAUCUUCAACCAGAGGUUACCAGUGGAAUCAUUUCUUGACAAGAUGGCAGUCUGAUAGUUUUGGAGUACCUGAAAUCCUCAGACUUUGGAUCCAGAGACAGUUCAGAGGGAAGCAAGGUAAAGAUGAAAAAUUUUUCAAGUUUCAAAAUUCAGAAUAGUUUGAGAAACUUGCUUCAGUGAGGGGGGAAAAAAGUUACCUCCAUUUCAGUAACUAUUAAUCCCUUUUUAAGCUUUAUUUGCAAGUUGGAUUUCCGUAGUUUCACCUUCCAGCCGUGAUAUACUGACAUCCUGUAGUAGGAUGAAACUAAGAAACAAACCUUGAAAUAUUGCAACUUGCAUAAUUUUUCUACCUACACCUCCUCUUUGGUAGGUCUACUCUAUUGAACAUUAAGUAUCACAUUCUAAGUUAUGAUUUCUAAACUUCAUGUUAUUAUGCUCCUCCUUUUUUUUUUUUUAAUCACGUCAUUUUUUUUAAUGUACUUUAAAAGUGUGGAGACUAAUUCUGGGCAAAAUAUUGCAUGGGUAGUCUAAUCAUUGGCAGACAUACUAUUGAAAAAUACCUUUACUGUUAUUCUCUCAGAUCUGGAGAUCAUUGUAGCGAGUUUAGGUGCACUGUUAAGUCAG